UCUCUAUUGAUUUACCAGAAUCUUUCAGGAUGUAACUUUGAAAAAAGCUUCGCGCAAGAAGCCAAUUGCAUCCGCUGCUUGUUUUUAGUCCUGGACUUGUGAUUGAUUUUGCAACAUAGAAGAAUNNNNNNNNNNUGCUUUGUUCCAUUCUGAUGUACAUUGGCAUAAAUUCAAUCUAACAAAGAGAGUAUACGCACUUUACUCUCUUCAUCUAAUAAAAGAAAGUAAUCAUUUUCUU
rnacentral:misc_RNA from 1 species